CGUACGGAGAAGUUAUUCUUAGUGGCGGACGGGUGAGUAACACGUAAGAAUCUACCUUUAGGAAGGGGAUAACAUUUAGAGAUAAUUGCUAAUACCCUAUAUGCCGUUUGGUGAAAGAAGCAAUUCGCCUAGAGAGGAGCUUGCGUCUGAUUAGCUAGUUGGUAGGGUAAAGGCCUACCAAGGCGACGAUCGGUAGUUGGUCUGAGAGGAUGACCAGCCACAUUGGAACUGAGACACGGUCCAGACUCCUACGGGAGGCAGCAGUGAGGAAUUUUCUGCAAUGGGCGCAAGCCUGACAGAGCAAUACCGCGUGAGGGAUGACGGCCUAUGGGUUGUAAACCUCUUUUCUCAAGGAGGAGGAUCUGACGUUACUUGAGGAAUAAGCAUCGGCUAACCCUGUGCCAGCAGCCGCGGUAAUACAGGGGAUGCGAGUGUUAUCCGGAAUUAUUGGGCGUAAAGCGUCUGCAGGUGGAUAAGUAAGUCUUAUGUUAAAUUUCUAGGCUCAACCUGGAGUCGGCAAAGGAAACUGCUUAUCUCGAGUAUGGUAGGGGUAAAGGGAAUUUCAAGUGGAGCGGUGAAAUGCGUAGAUAUUUGAAAGAACUCCAAUAGCGAAGGCACUUUACUGGGCCAUUACUGACACUCAGAGACGAAAGCUAGGGGAGCAAACAGGAUUAGAUACCCUGGUAGUCCUAGCUGUAAAC
rnacentral:rRNA from 1 species